GUAUUGGCACGGUAACGAGAUUUCAUCGUUAGAUACCAUAGUAAUUCGGUCAGUUCAUUACGGGCUACGAUUUCGCCCCGCUUGCUAAUGGAUCGCUUACAAAUGAGGAUAGAAAGGUGCAAAGGAAAAAAAGAUUGUGAGGAUCGCCGGUAUUCACGUUUGAUUAUUCACCGUCUGUUUGCGAGAUUCAACGGUCAAUAUCACGAUCGCAUUUAUACAUUCAGUUCCCAAUGAUUUCGUGAGAAGUAAGAAUUAACUUCAUGCCCCUAGUAAUCAUACAUAACAAAUACGACCUAAUACAACGUAAGGCUGUCUAAUAAAGAAAUGUAAUUUUGGAAUCAAAGGUACGAAAUGAGAAAUUGACCGCUCGACUAACAAAGCGUUUACGCGCAUAUGCGCGUGACGUUCGAUUAUUAUGAUUGAGUAAAAUCUGACGACAAGAAUGUAGGUCUGAAAGAAAAAUAGUUGCUAUUUCAUCUGUUAUGUUCAUCUUGUUGCCUUGCAUAUUUUAAUUGUAUUAUUUAUGGUCUUACAAAUGGAUCAGUGGAUAUGGUGGUAAAGAACGAUGUCUUUCCUCUUCGCUGACUUUAUCGUUAGCAGUUUGAUGACGAACUCACAGCUGUAUAUUGUAGAGGGCAUACUAAAUCUGUUAGUUUUUUACAACAAUCGGUAUUUCAGUAUUAAUGAUACUAUCAUGGAUUAGGUAUAUGAGUAGAUCUAUCAAAAUCGAUCAAUGCAUUUUUCCCCUUCUUGUGGUUUUAACGCCAGAUUAAAAUUUCCAUGUUACUGAUAAUGAUAUUAAUAAAUUAUGGGAAGCAAUCCUAACACUCAGUAUAGUACGAGAGCCAGUAAUGUAUUGUAAAAAUGGCUAAAUUCUGAUUAAUAAAUAAAUGGAAGCGAA